AGUAAGCGUGUGCUCCCGGCUGCUCACUGGUCAAGCAGCUAGAACUACCCAGACACACCCAUUGUAGAUGCCAGGUUGGCGUUCUGAGCUUCCCAAACAUCUAAACCACGAGGGGGAGAACCCCGCUUGUGUCCCAGCCUCAUCUGCGGGCCGCUUGCCCUCCCUCUACCCUGAGUCAAUUCUAGUGAGCAUGGCUCCCUGGCUGCCUCCUCACACUGAGCGGAGCCAUCCCAGUUCAGGACCAUUUCUACUUGGAUCUCCACUCUCCCUCUGGACUCCAGAUGCCUCUGUAGCAGGAAAAGGCAUCCAUGGGUGGGAUAUAUAUAUUUAUGUGACUGCGGGCAUUUGUGGCUAUAGAGUCCUUGACCAUAAUGUUAUAUGUAAUGGGAACUAUCUUAUAAACUUGAAAAAAUAAAGUUUUUAUUUUCU
rnacentral:lncRNA from 1 species